rnacentral:tRNA from 1 species
GUUAAUGUAGCUUAUUAUUAAAGCAAAGCACUGAAAAUGCUUAGAUGAGUACUUCUACUCCAUAAACA